GGGGCUGGGGCUCAGUGGUAGAGCACUCAUCUUGCAAGUGUGAGGCCCUGGGUUUGAUCCUCAGCACCA
rnacentral:tRNA from 1 species